rfam:Camelus ferus unplaced genomic scaffold scaffold1178, whole genome shotgun sequence.
AAGGGUAUAGCUCAGUGGUAGAGCACAUGCUUAGUAUGAUCGAGGUCCUGGGUUCAAUCCCCAGUACCUCCA